CCUCUGCCAUGAUUUCUGGGUUCAAGGAGAAGAAAAGCAACAACUAGAGAACACUGAUACAGAGUAGUGAAGUUGUGUUCAUUGAAGACAAUAUUUGAAAAUUGAAUCACUUCCUAAGGUAUGGAUCUGAAAGUAGAAGAUGAUCUGGGAAUGAACAUCAGUAAUCAAUAUUGAAGGGAAGGCAGACUGACAGCCAGAAACAUUAUAACAAAACCUCAUCUGAUCCUUGGGUGGUGGCAAGAUUGUGAUUUGUUCUGGAGAUAGCCCUGCUAUUCCAGAAUCAA